rnacentral:lncRNA from 1 species
GGACAUCUCCCUGCUCGAUCAAAUUUGGAGGAUGAAGCAGUUCUUCCUCAAGACUUCCUUGCUGAAUCUGGUGGUGGAAGAGAUCUCCCUGGAAGUCCAAAAUUGGCAAUUGCCACCAUGAACAGGGGAGGUUUCUUCUUUCCCCUUCUUCCCCUUUUCCCACUUGAAUUGCACUUGACCUUGAUCUGUUGACUAUUAUGAGUACUGAUCUUAUGCUUGUGACACAUUGAGGACACUGUGUAGUUUAAGUGUGGUCUAUUGGGGGAGAAUUCUAUUUUCUUUGUCAGCUUUUGUUUUUCUGCGUUAAAAUUUUUUGUUUUCUAGAUAGUUUUUGUAGUGUCUUGUAUACAGUUUUGCAUGUUUCUCUUGAUUUCUGGACUUGGUUUAGGUUGUAGACUUGUCUUUCACUACAUUGAUACUCUGAUUUGUUUCAAAUCCUUGCUUUUCUUUGCUUGGAAAGAUGAUUAUGAUGUUUGAGAGGGUGAUUGAUUGUGACAGAAAUUACCCUGUGUGAGAUUUGAGCCACUUGAUAUUCUUUNNN